rnacentral:rRNA from 1 species
AGAGUUUGAUCAUGGCUCAGAGCGAACGCUGGCGGCAGGCCUAAUACAUGCAAGUCGAACGGCUCUUCGGAGCAGUGGCGCACGGGUGCGUAACGCGUGGGAAUCUACCCUUUGCUACGGAAUAACUCAGAGAAAUUUGUGCUAAUACCGUAUGAUGUCGAAAGACCAAAGAUUUAUCGGCAAAGGACGAGCCCGCGUAGGAUUAGCUAGUUGGUGUGGUAAAGGCGCACCAAGGCGACGAUCCUUAGCUGGUCUGAGAGGAUGAUCAGCCACACUGGGACUGAGACACGGCCCAGACUCCUACGGGAGGCAGCAGUGGGGAAUAUUGGACAAUGGGCGAAAGCCUGAUCCAGCAAUGCCGCGUGAGUGAUGAAGGCCUUAGGGUUGUAAAGCUCUUUUACCAGGGAUGAUAAUGACAGUACCUGGAGAAUAAGCUCCGGCUAACUCCGUGCCAGCAGCCGCGGUAAUACGGAGGGAGCUAGCGUUGUUCGGGAUUACUGGGCGUAAAGCGUACGUAGGCGGUUAUUCAAGUCAGGGGUGAAAGCCUGGAGCUCAACUCCAGAACUGCCCUUGAAACUAGAUAACUAGAAUCUUGGAGAGGUGGGUGGAAUUCCGAGUGUAGAGGUGAAAUUCGUAGAUAUUCGGAAGAACACCAGUGGCGAAGGCGACUCACUGGACAAGUAUUGACGCUGAGGUACGAAAGCGUGGGGAGCAAACAGGAUUAGAUACCCCGGUAGUCC